rnacentral:rRNA from 1 species
UAGGGAAUCUUCGGCAAUGGGGGCAACCCUGACCGAGCAACGCCGCGUGAGUGAAGAAGGUUUUCGGAUCGUAAAGCUCUGUUGUAAGAGAAGAACGUGUGUGAGAGUGGAAAGUUCACACAGUGACGGUAACUUACCAGAAAGGGACGGCUAACUACGUGCCAGCAGCCGCGGUAAUACGUAGGUCCCGAGCGUUGUCCGGAUUUAUUGGGCGUAAAGCGAGCGCAGGCGGUUUAAUAAGUCUGAAGUUAAAGGCAGUGGCUUAACCAUUGUUCGCUUUGGAAACUGUUAAACUGGAGUGCAGAAGGAGAGAGUGGAAUUCCAUGUGUAGCGGUGAAAUGCGUAGAUAUAUGGAGGAACACCGGUGGCGAAAGCGGCUCUCUGGUCUGUAACUGACGCUGAGGCUCGAAAGCGUGGGGAGCAAACAGG